rnacentral:rRNA from 1 species
UACGUAGGGUGCGAGCGUUGUCCGGAAUUACUGGGCGUAAAGAGCUCGUAGGCGGUUUGUCGCGUCGUCCGUGAAAACUUGGGGCUCAACCCCAAGCUUGCGGGCGAUACGGGCAGACUUGAGUACUGCAGGGGAGACUGGAAUUCCUGGUGUAGCGGUGAAAUGCGCAGAUAUCAGGAGGAACACCGGUGGCGAAGGCGGAUCUCUGGGCCUGUCCUGACGCUCAGGCGCGAAAGCUAGGGGAGCGAACAGG